CUAAGUGUUCACCUUUAGGAACUGUCCAAGGCUCACAGGGGAUCAGACAUCCCUGGGGGGCUCUAGGAGCCCCUAGGGGCUUGCCACAGCUGAGUGCCGCCCAGUGAUGGACUUAAAUUCUGAUAAUACAGAUCACUCUCCAGCCGUUGUCGUGACUAUAGAGCCCACAGAUCAUCAUUCAACAAGGAAUGUAGCCUUUGACCUCACCAACUACCAGUCAGCAAUGGAAGUAACGAGUGACCCCUUAGAACAUCUUCUGAAGGCUAUACCUUCUGAUCUCUCUACCUGUUCCUCCAGCUGUUAUAUCUCCAGCCCUAGUUCUGCAGUGGAUUUAAGUACCGAUAUUUCAUCCUCCUCAUCUGCCAUGGAUAUAGCCACAGAACCCAUAGACAAUCAUUUCACCAUAUUGCUACCCUCUACGUCCCAGCCCUCACUGAUGGUUAUAGAGCAAAGCAUUGAUCCCACAACCCUUUACUUAAAGUUUGAUACAACUGAGGUCACGCCUCGGGACUCAGACAUGGAUGUAAAUGAGAUUGCAGGCCACUGCUCAGUCAUGGAUGUAACUAGCAGCACCAACCUACGGAAGAAUUAGAGAAGAGCUCAGGAUCUCUGAUCUCGGACCUGAGAAGAAAGUGAACAUGAAUAACAGAGAGAAAAAGAGAGAGAGGAAGGACUGGGGCUUGGCCAGUGGCCACGAUGAGGAAGCUGGGGCAGACACAGGUACAGGAUCACAUAGCCAGUCUGGGACCAGAUUCCUGGUUUCUGAUGUACCUUAUCAACUACACCAUACUGCUCCUUGACUGAGUGACAAGAUCGCUAAAGACUUCACUAACAGGACUCCAAGUAAUUGUCUACAAAGUUGCUGCAGUUCUUUGCACCAAUGAUGGGUGGCAGAGGGUGCUACUGGAUACCAAGGGAAGAAGGAAGCAGUAACAUCUGGAAUGGUGUCUUAUGGUUGGGAUGCUUGAAGCUGAAGCUGUCUCCUCUUCUGAACAUCCAAAGUCUUCUGCCCACCUGUAACCCAAACUCCUCUCCUCCUUCUUGCUCCAUAGAAGGAUCCUUUGCCAGUGUGUCUCUUCUGUGACUCAGAAAAGAAUGGGAAAUCUUUCUUUCCCAUUUUUCCUCCCACCUUGCAGACUUCAGAAGCCACAGGGAGGAAUGUCCAUCAUACUAGCUGCCAAGUCCAUGGAUUUUCAGCCUCUUCUGGAGAGAGAGAAGCUAGGUUCUGGGUGGCCAAGCGGCAGAGAACGACCUCCAACAUAAUGGAAUAGAGUCAUAUGUUGGCCUUGGGUACAGGACUUGGUUUAUGAAGUCUAGAGUGCUUCAUUAACAGGGGAAUGGUAAUUAGUCGGCUUGUUAUGAAAAAGCAAAGGGGUGCCAAAGUUUGCAGGGGGGGAAUCUCACUGCUGAUCCAUUGAGAAUAUAGGAACUCAGACUCAGGGGUCUCCUUGAAGGCAUUCCACAGGUAUGGGGAAGGCUCCCAUCUGUCCAGUUGGCCAUUUGGCUUUUUUCCGAAACCAGCAAAGCACAUUUAAUGGGGGGAGGAAAAAAGGGGGGCUGCUAUUUUGUCUCAGUAAUCCUGUUACACAAAUCAACAUUCCAAUCCACCCACAUGCUUUAAAACUUCCUGGUUAUAAUAAGAACCAUCUCUAAGUUCUCGGACAUUCACGGAGGGGCUUGGUGACGGCUAAGCCUAGAGGCUUGGAGUGGAGCACAAGGGCAUGGGGACAGAGCAGAAGUUUGGAAAUUCUGAUUGCCUGGGUUCCUGAUGUGGUGCCUUGUCAGCUGUUCAUACUUAGGAAAGAGCCCUAGCAGUCAAGUGAUGGUUCCUCCUUCAAUUAAACUCAAAUCCACAAGCA